GGUGCACCCGCUUCUUGCAAGAACAGUAAUAAACGAUUCUUCUUCCACUCCGAACUUAGUUUUGUUACUAAGAGCAAGACUACACUCGGCAUUGCAACUGGGAAAGCAAUGGGCUGCAGCAGCUUGCCUGGGCUAACUUCCCAACCCUGCUGAGGGGGUCCAAGGGGCUCUAUUUCUAACAGCUGGAAAACAUAAAAAAACAGCAAGUGCUCACAUCUCUCAGGAACGGGCUUCUGCAUGGAAAAUAAGCCUGAGCUUUUGUACUUUCCAAGAAACAACUUUGUGUGACUUCCUUGUGCCUCACGAAAAAAAUGUUAAGGCUGUCCCCCAUGCCUGGAAUAAAAUGAGCAGAACCAAGAGGACAAUUUGUACGACAACGUCAGCAUUGCGAAGACAAACAACUUGGAAAGACUUAAGAUCACUGAGCCAUGCAAUGAUCAACCAUGAUUUCAAGGACUGAUAAUGAUCUAUGAUAACCAUUUCCUGACAGAAGUGAUGGAUUCAAAAUGCAAAAUGAGAUAGACAUGUUUAGACACGGCCAAUGUGGGAAUCUGUUUUGCUUAACUGUGUGUAUUUGUG